ensembl:lncRNA
AGAGGACAAAUAAUGAUAUAUAAACUCGCCUCCUCAGAUUUCAAAGCCCGAAAUGAUCAGAAAGGCUGAUUGUGUAACUACUGUUGCAGCUCAGCUCCGAAAUAGGAUUAGAGGCAACCGGAUUAACUGAAACAGAGGAGACACCCUGGUCUCUCCCUCCCUCUCUGUUGCCGGGCGGAGCAGGCCUCCUCCAGCACACCACACAAAGGGCCGGCCGUAAAUCAGAGGACCCCGCGACCCUGACCCUGUCCUCGCUGAGAGCCAGCUCUCACUCCGGGGCGAGGCCUUGACCCUCGCAGACCUCCAGAGCAGUCUUGGCUCCACACACUCCUGUCUGUAGGAAGCUGUGCACCCCCCCCCCCCCCCCCAGGGCAGGCGAAAAAAAUAGCGAUGUGUGUGGGAAUCUGUGGCGGCAUGCGGGCCAUAAUGCGGAGAGACGAGGACGCCAGGGACGAGAUCAAAGCAGAGAGAGGUCUUCUGUCUGCACGGGGGUCCGACGGAGGGACGCAAAAGGAACAAACGUCGAGGCCUCCGAAGACCCGUUUCCACGCGCGCACCCUCAAACGUCCCGGUUUGAGUAUUCAAUUCAAAGCGGAAAUAAAACCGCUGCCGGCUGAGGAGGUGGAAGCAGCAACCGUUGUGUCGUUUGGUUGCUCGGCGCCAUAACUUUGACCUCUAAAGUCAUCAAACGUUUGAAGAGGCCGGAAGAAGCGGAUCAAAGGAGCCCCACACACGACGGCAAAAUCGCCGGAACAAAUUUGCGUACACACUCUUAUUCUUUUUUUUAAUUUUUUUUAUGGCGGGUCAGGGGCCUCGCGGAGGAGUUCACGGCGGGUCUGCCGGAGGUCACUUACUCCAUGGCCGCCACUUUCUGCGCCAGGCUCGCAAUCACAGCAAAGAGCCGGAGGUCCACCAGCCCAUCUGUCACGCUGAAGUCCACCAUCUCUAAGAUCUGGGACGGGCAGAGACAAAAAAAAAAAAAAAAAAGGACACUCAUAAGUAGUCGAGGCGGCGAGCGUGGCCACGGAGAUGACGUCAUCGGCACCGGUUGACAAGGGAAUGGACCGAAAAAGACAAAGAUGUGUCUCCAGCAUCCUGUGGACUCUUAAUCUUAAUAACGAUAAGGCGAGAAACAUUCUUUGGGAAGUCGAGACUAAAGUUUGAGGGUGAGACUCGGUCAGAGCGACUCGGCGUGCGUGUGCCGACCCUGUAGACGUAGAUUUCUUCUUCGUCGGACAGCCGCUCCGCGGGGAUGACGCUCUUGAGCGCGAGCAGAGCCUGAAGGCAGGAUAUGUAGCCGUCAUCAUCAGCGUCCUCCUGCCAGGAAAGAUCAUCAUCAUCAUCAUCACCAUCAUCAUCACCUUCAUCAACCAGAGCAGUGGUUCAGUUUAAUUCCCCAAAGACGACGAGCUGCAGGUUUUACUAAUAAUGAAAACAAUAGUUAGCUGAAGGCCCGUUAUCACCCUGCUCCCCUUGUUCUGAGCGGGGAGUGCAACAUAUUACAGUGAGUGACAGAGAACAACCCCGACAUAAAGGGCUUGAAUGCCUUUUCACUUACUGCUUCAAAAGCCCUUUUGUACUCGGCCAGCUUCUCCUGACUGAAAAUGCAAUACUUUGCCAAAAAGUCAACUGCAAAGAGAAGAGGAGACAAAGGCGAACCUUUAGGGCCACACAUUGCUGCAUCACGUUUUAUUCCACAGCACAGAUUUGCAGCUCCAGAAGCACGACGAGCUUCUGUGUGUGUGUGUGUGUGUGUGCAGAGUGGAUUAGAGCAAUAUUUCUCUCCUCCGGUCGCUGCGGGGUCACGGAGGAGGGACAAUGCAGGGCGAGUGGUUCACAGGGCGUCCAGUUGGCCGUGGUCGGGGGGGUCGGGGAGUCGGGGGGGGGGCACUUGGCUGGAGAACCUUUUUUUUUCUUCAUAAACACAGAAAGUGAGAUGAAUGGAAGCUAUAAGUUGAGCGGACGAGAGCUGGAAAUGAGACACAUAUUAAAAGAAGGGAGCGGUUAUUAUUACUUCUUAUUACAGGCGGCAGUUUGUUGACCGGCAGAAAACGGAACUGAAACUGUUUUGUUAGUAAUUUAAGUAAAAAAAAAAGAAAAUGCGUGACAACGGUCUAAACGCAGCGCUUCAAAUGAGAUCAUUUGAGUGAUUUUCUUUGUUGGUUUGUUCAAAAACGAACUUGUAAAAUCUUUUUUUUUUUCUGUUUGACAGAACAAACACUAAUGAAGAAAAGAAUAAAUAUGGAUUAAUUCCUUUAAAUUAAGUGUGAAUGACAGAAAUAAGCCAAAAAGGUAAGUUCCAGAACUAGUUCUUUUAUAUUUAAGUGUUGUGAAUCAUCAGAAACUUUUUUUUGAGCAGAAAGUGGCGCCAUUUUUAACUGAAAUGUAACGGCGAAUGUCUGCACUAUAAAAAACAAUGUCACAAACAAACUGAGACUCACCCAUGAGUGAAUAUUUCAGCAGGCAAAUUUGUGAGGGAGAGUGACUCAGGAGAAAAGGCGGCAGAGGGAUUGGGGGGGGGGGGGGUAGAAAACGGGGGCUUUUAAGCUGCUGCCACUUCAAUUAAGGAGAUGAGAGUGAGUCUCCUGAAUAAUGAAUCUAUUCAUUGGUUUGGAGAAGAAAGAGGAGCAACAGAGUUGAUAUCGGUCUGGACUUAAAGCUCUGCACCGCUGGGGUUUCUCGGCGAUAGCAGGGGGGCUGUUUGGAUCCGCCAUUUAUCAGCUUAGGCCUAAUCGAAAGCGGGCCUUCUCCGGACCCGUCCUUUCACAUGCAAAAUGUUACACUCGCAUCCCGUCAACUUGACUCGUUAAAGCGUGAUUGAUCAAAAGAAAGAAAAGGAAAGAAAAAGGAAACCCCGCGGGCCGGCUCGCCGCAUCUGUUUGCAAAUAUUCCGCGAUUUGAGAACCCGAGCUCAGACCUGAAGCUGGACAUCAGCUUGUCCGCGUGCCGAAAGUGAAACGGCGCCCUUUGUGCAGAGAGAGCGGAUGGCUGCAGCUCCUCUGCCCCCCUCCCGCC